rnacentral:rRNA from 1 species
UACGUAGGGUGCAAGCGUUAAUCGGAAUUACUGGGCGUAAAGCGUGCGCAGGCGGUUUUGUAAGUCUGACGUGAAAUCCCCGGGCUUAACCUGGGAAUUGCGUUGGAGACUGCAAGGCUGGAGUCUGGCAGAGGGGGGUAGAAUUCCAGGUGUGAGUACGGUGAAAUGCGUAGAUAUCUGGAGGAACACCGGUGGCGAAGGCGGCGAUCCGUGGAC